GACGAACGCUGGCGGCGUGCUUAACACAUGCAAGUCGAACGGAAAGGCCCUGCUUUUGUGGGGUGCUCGAGUGGCGAACGGGUGAGUAACACGUGAGUAACCUGCCCUUGACUUUGGGAUAACUUCAGGAAACUGGGGCUAAUACCGGAUAGGAGCUCCUGCUGCAUGGUGGGGGUUGGAAAGUUUCGGCGGUUGGGGAUGGACUCGCGGCUUAUCAGCUUGUUGGUGGGGUAGUGGCUUACCAAGGCUUUGACGGGUAGCCGGCCUGAGAGGGUGACCGGCCACAUUGGGACUGAGGUACGGCCCAGAAGCCUACGGGAGGCAGCAGUGGGGAAUAUUGCACAAUGGGCGGAAGCCUGAUGCAGCAACGCCGCGUGCGGGAUGACGGGCUUCGGGGUGUAAACCGCUUUCGCCUGUGACGAAGCGUGAGUGACGGUAAUGGGUAAAGAAGCACCGGCUAACUACGUG
rnacentral:rRNA from 1 species